AGUGGACAACCCGGCCCGUGUGAGGAGGAUGAGGAGACGGCGGCGCAGGUAGUGGACAACCCGGGCCCACUAUGGCGGGAGGCUGCAGGGAGCCAACACUGUCAGCCAUCCAUCCAUUCUGCUGUGUAUCCCUUAAUUAGUAUAUUCUGACUUACUAAUUAAGAGAUACACAGUAGGAAUUGAAGGUCUGUUGGAAAUUUGGAUAUAUUACAGGUGCUGCCCGACCUGCUGAGUUUCUCCAAUGGUUUGUUUAUUUUUGCUCCAACAUCAGCAGCCUUUACCAGAUAUCACUAAAUAUCUGUUCAUUAUUUGCCUGGUGUAAAAUUUUGAUUGGAAAGGCUCCUGCUCAUGAUUUUACAACAAUAAAAGGAAUGAAAUAAA